GGCUUUUUAGCUCAGUUGGUAGAGCGAGCGACUGAAAAUCGCUAGGUCAACGGAUCGACGCCGUUCGGAGCCACCA
rnacentral:tRNA from 1 species